rnacentral:rRNA from 1 species
GAUGAACGCUAGCUACAGGCUUAACACAUGCAAGUCGAGGGGAAACGACAUCGAGAGCUUGCUUUUGAUGGGCGUCGACCGGCGCACGGGUGAGUAACGCGUAUCCAACCUGCCCAUCACUUGGGGAUAACCUUGCGAAAGUAAGACUAAUACCCAAUGAUAUCUCUAGAAGACAUCUGAAAGAGAUUAAAGAUUUAUCGGUGAUGGAUGGGGAUGCGUCUGAUUAGCUUGUUGGCGGGGUAACGGCCCGCCAAGGCAACGAUCAGUAGGGGUUCUGAGAGGAAGGUCCCCCACAUUGGAACUGAGACACGGUCCAAACUCCUACGGGAGGCAGCAGUGAGGAAUAUUGGUCAAUGGGCGAGAGCCUGAACCAGCCAAGUAGCGUGCAGGAAGACGGCCCUAUGGGUUGUAAACUGCUUUUAUAAGGGAAUAAAGUGAGAGUCGUGACUCUUUUUGUAUGUACCUUAUGAAUAAGGACCGGCUAAUUCCGUG